GGCUCUUUCCUUUCCAUUUGUCCAACAAAUUCGGCCCUUUCCGUUAUUCCCGACCAUAUACGUGUGGGAUUUCUUCCAUGGAAAUUCUCUUUUCAUUCAGUGGUGAAUUCAGAUUUCUUCACAUUAUCUUAAUGUUCUGAAACAUGCGAGACUCUUCUGAUAUGUCAAACGAAGUAGGUGAUAUGUUGUCUAACUCCCAAAGCGGCGAAGCUUUAUUAGAUCAAGAAAUCUGCUCCUUGUCCCAGCUUAAGGACAGGCGCCCCCCGAAGCUUUAUUAGAUCAAGGAAUCUGCUUCCUGUCCCGGCUUGGGGGACAGGCGCCCCCUAUUGGAGGGGCGUUUGUCAGUCAUGUGGCGUCUCUGUCUUCAAUCCUGUCCCCAACCCGGGACGGGGGUUGUAUCCUUAGAUCAAUGAUUUGAAGAAAGGGUGGGAAAAAAAUAAAAAAUAAAAAAUAAUCUCAAAGUCCAGUAUGAAAUAUAGAUAUUGUGUCAAGAAGUUAUAAUAUUUUCUUUCUCUUGAAACAAAAAUUAUAAGAUUUUUGUACCUUUUUAA